rnacentral:lncRNA from 1 species
UCUGAACUGUUAAUACAGUUCUUCAUGGUGUUUGAUGAAUUCAUAGUUUGCCAGGACAUUUGUGGUAGUAACAGGUGGCAGAUUCCACCUGCCUCUGCUUGGGGGGAGCAGGGGCUUUGUUUUCUGAUCCUGUCCCGUCUGCUGGAAGUUGUGCAGGGACCACUAGCUACCUUCUUACCAGGAAGAACGACCCUUUGACAGCACAACUGCAAUCCAGAAUCUCCACCAAAUUGUAACCUUCGAGGUGCCAAUGGCAUUGACAAACUAAUCAAGAUCAGAAGAAGUAGAGCUUCUAAAAUAGAUGCUCCUAUUAAUGAUGUCACUCAGCUGACCAUUUGUCUAUGCCUAAAGAUGGAGUUGCAAACACGACAGUUUCUGAAAGAAAAG